GAUGAACGCUGGCGGCGUGCCUAAUACAUGCAAGUCGAGCGAACGGACGAGAAGCUUGCUUCUCUGAUGUUAGCGGCGGAUGGGUGAGUAACACGUGGAUAACCUACCUAUAAGACUGGGAUAACUUCGGGAAACCGGAGCUAAUACCGGAUGAUAUUUUGAACCGCACGGUUCAAAAGUGAAAGACGGUCUUGCUGUCUCUUAUAGAUGGAUCCGCGCUGCAUUAGCUAGUUGGUAAGGUAACGGCUUACCAAGGCAACGAUGCAUAGCCGACCUGAGAGGGUGAUCCACCACACUGCAACUGAGACACGGUACGGGCUCCUACCGUAGGCAGCAGUAAGGAGUCUGCCACAAUGGGAGAAAUGCUAACGGAACAACGCCGAGUGGGAAAUUAAGGUCUUAGGAUCGUAUAGCUCUGUAAUUAGCGAAGAACAUUUGUGUAAGUAACUGUGCGCUUCUUGACGGUGCCUAAUCAGAUAGCCACGGCUAACUACGUG
rnacentral:rRNA from 1 species